CACAGAUGGAACAGCCCUAAUUGUAUUGAAAUGUAUAUUUAAAACCAACUUACUGACUACGGCAGUCCUAAGAGGGAGUGCACGAAAGGCCACUUUUUGGUUUGUCCCGCUCCAGUUAAUUUGAGUUAGCCAAAAGCUUUCCCGGGAUACGCCAAACUGCUUAGUGGAAAACACCAAUGAUUUCA
rnacentral:lncRNA from 1 species